CUUGGCUGUUUGAGGCUCGUUAUUAAGAGUGCAGGAGAGCAGACAUUAUACAAAGCUAUUGAUCAUGUGUAAAGACAGGCCUACACAGUCAAUCCCUACAGCCUAUGAAAAAUGCUCUGUUUAUGAGUGCAUCCUGCAGAGAAAAGCUGCCUUUCUCUGUAAUCUGUGCUCUGUCUGCCGAGGCAGCUGCUCCCGUUUGGCCCUUUAUCACAUGUUCACAGCUCAGGGAACAUUUCGUCAGAGGAGGCGAGCAAAGUACAGCGACUCCGGUUUGUUCUUUUGCUUUUGAAAACGAUCUUUGUUAAACUUACAUCGAAUGAAUGACAUCACUUAUUGUAUAAAGAUAUAUUGUUAAAAUUUCUACUUUUUAUCAAGAUGUAAAUUCACUUUGGAUUAUUUUCUACAGAUUUACCGGAAACGUUUUCACUGAAAACUUGUUGGGGUGUCGAUGACAAGGCAGCUGGAGAAAACACAAAGAGAACCGAGAGAGCCAGAUUACUUCAUGUGAAAACAUGUUGCAUGAUGUAUUUGAAUGCUAAAAAAUACUUUAGGUAAUUUUGAGCUGUUCACUCUAGUUUUAUGGGACCAUUACAUGCCUGUCAUUACUUAUCUUCUG